rnacentral:tRNA from 1 species
CAGGGAGACAACAAAAUGUAAAUAUUAAUUUUGUCACCUUAGGUCGAUCGGUAUCUCAGAUUCUUAUUUUAAGAAUUUCAGUUUCUAAGUUUUUUCUAGGUCACACCCAUCACUUUUUCCUGGGCCAUUAGCUCAGGUGGUUAGAGCGCACCCCUGAUAAGGGUGAGGUCCCUGGUUCAAGUCCAGGAUGGCCCAUAUCUCUAUGUUGGGGGUAUAGCUCAGUUGGUAGAGCGCCUGCUUUGCAAGCAGGAUGUCAGCGGUUCGAGUCCGCUUACCUCCACUGAAUACCACCUCUUACAUAUUGGAAAAGAGGGAAAUUGUUUUUGAGUUGUGUCCUAAUUUGCUCUGAGCGAAUCUAGCUUCCUAUUUUAUUUAAAUAAUAAGAUGCUGGACUCAUUGAAUUUUUUCAUUGUUUUCAGAGAACCUUGACAACUGCAUAGAUUAUUUUUGAAGACAAUAAGCAUCUUUAAUGAUGCAGAUUUAUUAUUUGUGCGAAUGCAUUAAAUAACAAUUCUAUUAAGCUGAUGCUUCAAUUAAUUGAAGUUAUU